rnacentral:rRNA from 1 species
ACGUAGGGGGCAAGCGUUGUCCGGAAUCAUUGGGCGUAAAGCGCGUGUAGGCGGCCAUCCAAGUCCGAUGUGAAAGCUCGGGGCUCAACCCCGAGUCUGCAUUGGAAACUGUAUGGCUUGAGUCCGGAAGAGGAGACUGGAAUUCCUGGUGUAGCGGUGAAAUGCGCAGAUAUCAGGAAGAACACCGGUGGCGAAGGCGGGUCUCUGGGACGGUACUGACGCUGAGACGCGAAAGCGUGGGGAGCAAACAGGAUUAGAUACCCUGGUAGUCCACGCCGUAAACGAUGGGCACUAGGUGUGGGAGGUGUCGACUCCUUCCGUGCCGUAGCUAACGCAUUAAGUGCCCCGCCUGGGGAGUACGGCCGCAAGGCUA